rnacentral:rRNA from 1 species
CCGCAUAACAAUGGAUGACACAUGUCAUUUAUUUGAAAAGGGGCAAUUGCUCCACUACAAGAUGGACCUGCGUUGUAUUAGCUAGUAGGUGAGGUAACGGCUCACCUAGGCGACGAUACAUAGCCGACCUGAGAGGGUGAUCGGCCACACUGGGACUGAGACACGGCCCAGACUCCUACGGGAGGCAGCAGUAGGGAAUCUUCGGCAAUGGGGGCAACCCUGACCGAGCAACGCCGCGUGAGUGAAGAAGGUUUUCGGAUCGUAAAGCUCUGUUGUAAGUCAAGAACGAGUGUGAGAGUGGAAAGUUCACACU